ACCAUCAUCGUCUAGUGGUUUAGGAUACCAGAUUUUCAUCACCGUGGAUAUUUUCUGGGGGCCGGAGUUCGAACCUCCGUGAUGGUG